GGCGGCCUAAUACAUGCAAGUCGAGGGGUAACAUGACGCUUCGGUGUUGAUGACGACCGGCGCACGGGUGCGUAACGCGUAUGCAAUCUACCUACAGCAGAGGGAUAGCCCGUGGAAACAUGGAUUAAUACCUCAUAAUACAGGGGGCCCACCUGGGCAUAUUGUUAAAGAUUUAUCGGCUGUAGAUGAGCAUGCGUCCCAUUAGUUAGUUGGUAAGGUAACGGCUUACCAAGACGAUGAUGGGUAGGGGUUCUGAGAGGAUGAUCCCCCACACUGGUACUGAGAUACGGACCAGACUCCUACGGGAGGCAGCAGUAGGGAAUAUUGGUCAAUGGACGCAAGUCUGAACCAGCCAUGCCGCGUGCAGGAAGACGGCCUUCUGGGUUGUAAACUGCUUUUCUCAGGGAAGAAAAGGGUCUUGCGAGGCAACUUGCCGGUACCUGAGGAAUAAGCACCGGCUAACUCCGUGCCAGCAGCCGCGGUAAUACGGAGGGUGCAAGCGUUGUCCGGAUUUAUUGGGUUUAAAGGGUGCGUAGGCGGCCUAUUAAGUCAGUGGUGAAAGGUAUCAGCUUAACUGAUGACGUGCCAUUGAAACUGACAGGCUUGAGUACAGACGAGGUAGGCGGAAUUUAUGGUGUAGCGGUGAAAUGCAUAGAUACCAUAAAGAACACCGAUAGCGAAAGGCAGCUUACUAGACUGUAACUGACGCUGAGGC
rnacentral:rRNA from 1 species